ACCGAGCGAAACCUCUGCCGCCAGCGGCUUUGUCUUCUUCCCAAUUUCCUCUCAGCCGAAGUUCUCCCAUAGAAGCUGCUCGUUUCUUCAGCUCCUCGCGGUCACGUCCCUCUCCGCACGUCCAAGCCCACCGAUGGCCGAAUCCCCAUGCCUAGUCAACGAAAGAGUCCAACAAAAAUCGGUUUGUUGACCUCCUAGCCCCACACGAAGCCGCCCAUCUCCACAAAGCCUUGCUGAACGAAGCCCCACGCUGCCCUGUGUUCAACCGAUCAACCUAGCAAUUCCACCGACUCUCUGCAGUCGCGCCAGCACGCCCAUGCUCCACCAAAUUUUGUCUCCUCAAGUCAACCCGCCAAGCAGAUUGUUGACUCCUCCACCGAAUCAAGCUGCAACUCCAUUUGGCUUCACAUUUAGCCGGCAGCCGCCACGAGCGAGGUAGCAGCCUUCAUCUUCGGCUUCUUCAAUCUAGCUCACCCAACGCCGCAUCUGCUUCUCUCACGCCAGUCCCCUUCGAUUGAAGCCGCGGCCCGUCAAUUCCAGCGAAGCCAAAGACAAGCCCAGCAGCUGUUUGGUCCAGUCCAUUUGAAACUCGACGAAUUCUGCCUUUGGAGCCCGUGAAUUUUGGCCUAGCCCAUCCGAAGUCAAGCCCUGCAGCAGCAAGCCCAUCUCAGCCCAUUUGAAGCCCAAGUCCACAAGUGCAGCCAUCUUCAGUUUUCGGCCCAACCUUAAGCAGCCCAAUCUUGAAGCCGCCCGCGAAGCAAGUCAGCUCAAGCUUAGGCCCAAGUUUGGUUCAAGCCCAGAAAUUUCUGCGGGCUUGCGAGGCUUGUAGGCCCCGCCCGAGUGUCUGUCGGCGCCGCCGAAAGUUCUUGUUUCGGCCGCUGUCACGUCGCCGUCGUGGUGAUCCAAUCCCCACUUUUAAUCAAGUGAGUAGUCUCACUAAUCCUUGCUUAGUAGACUAAUGAUUUUUAAGGGUUGAUUAGAUUUAAUUAAGUGCAAUUAUGCGGUUAGAUUAGAAUGGAUUAGUGAUUAUUAGUUAAUUGCACUGCAUAUUAGUUAGGUGGUUAGUGUACUUAACUAGAGAACUGUCUAUACUAUUUAUUGAAUGCAUCUCGGGAUUUUUCCCGACUCUUCUCGGGCUUCAAUUAGGCAUUAUAGGCCUAAAUUGAAUUUUUAGUAUUUAUUUAUUAAUUUUCGAAAUUAAUUAUUUAAUUAAUUAUUUUUCAGAAAUUAGGCAAGGAUAGUCGACGACCGAAAUUUCGUGUUGAUCGUCGUGGUGUAGUCCGUUUAAUUAUUUGAGCUCUACGUUGUGCUGAAUCGAAUUAAUUGUGUAAUUUGAGGAAUUAUUCCUAAUUGAUUGAAAUUGAGUGAAAUUGAAUGAUUGAUUGGUGGAUGACCAAGUAUAGUUAGUUAGCAUUGACAAUGCUUUGAUGAGUUGUAAAGUACAGAAAAUCGUGAGGCUAAAUUGAGAAUAAUCUUGGCUGAGAUCGAUUAGGUACGAGAUAUAGACAUACGUGGUUUGGUGAUAAGGAAAUCAUUGAUGAAAACGAUGCCUUAAAGAAUGCACGAGUGCUGUCUAUUACUUGCAUCAGUAUAGACAUACGUGGUUCGGUGAUAAGGAAAUUACUGGUGAAAACGGUGCUUUAAAGAACGCACGACUGCUGUCUAUUGCAUGCCUCAUUACAGACAUACGUGGUUCGGUGAUUAAAAAUAUCACUGGUGACAAUGGCGCCUUAAAGAACACAUGAGUGCUAUCUAGUACAUACGUCACCAUGGCGAAGAUGACGCUCGAGAGCAUUACUGUAGCUCUGUGACUGAGAGUGCAAAUGAGAGGUUUUAUAUUGAGAAAUGAUUUGACCUGGAAAUGGUCCGACUGACAUGUAAUUGAUUGAUUGAGUGGAAGUGACCUUGAAUGGUCCGAUUGAUAUGUAAUAGACUAGGUUGAUUGAUCGAGAUAUCGAUCUGUGAUGUGAUUGCUAAGGUGCCUAUUGAAUUGUGCUAAUAUGCAGGUGGAAUCUAAGGCCAAGGUAAGUCUUCUAACCCGUGCAUGUAUAGGCAGCCCGGUUAGCAUAUUGGUUUCCUAAUCGAGUCUUAGUGUGGUAAAACUUGUUGAGACGUAGUCUCAUCUCAGUUGUGAGACAACAUUUCAGGACCCUGAUGAGGAGCCUAAGGAGAAAGAGAUCGAAGAGGAGUAACUAGAGGAGAACCUCGAUGAUGAUCCGAGUACGACCCGGAUCCCAUCAUCUUGUGAACCCUGUUCGUAGAUGGUUGAGUGUGAGAUUAGACCUUUGUGAAUAGUAUGGUAAAUUACUUUGAGGUGUGGUUGUAUACAAGUUUGGUUGUGAAAUCGUUUGGAGCACGGGAUAUGAAUCCGACCAAGCGUUUUACUGCGUCGAUGAGCAAACUGUGUGGGGUUGUUAAUCGCGGACAUGCACAAUGAGCAUUAGAAUAGAAGCAGCAAGGAGAUCUUCCCAAAUUCUCAAAAAAAAAUGAAAUUUCUUGGUGUUCCGUGGUCUGGCUAUUUUUUUUUCCAUCACUCUGGACUCUCUCGCAGACAGCGAUCUAGGCUCUCCUAGCAUUCCCUAGUGAACUUACUUUCUAUCUUGAAACAGGGUCGGCGAUGUAUUAAUUCUCUCUCUCUCUCCCUCUGUCUCUCUGUCUCUCUGUCAUAAAUUUACUAGAAGAUGUUAAAAUGUCCUAUGUCAUGUCCCGAAUUCCAUGAAGGUAGGGGUAAUGACAUAACCGUCCUUUCACCAAAAGAUAGGAUCUCAAACUAUACCUAAAAGUCAAGCUCCCAAAAGUGCUCUCAUAUUAUCAGUUGCUAAUUGAGGAACCCGAAAAAAUAAGGAACAAAAUGAGUGAACAAUCACAAUUUAGUAAGUGGUGCAUAUUUCUUCUAAACACAUUGAAUACCAACUAUGCACUUUACAAAACAAUGUUCAAAGCUAACUUAUCUUAAUCCUAGUAUAAUACACAUACAAUAAAAGAAUAAUUAUAUUGCUUUAACAUCUACAUAUCAGAAAACAUUUGUUUAAUCAAUAAUAUCAUAACAAACAACAAUGAUCUAAUCCAUUAAUCAAUCUUAUCAAUUCACAUAUCAAUGAUUUAAACCAUUGAUUAAUCUAAUCAAAUCACACAUCAAUGAUCAAUUUCAUCAACUAAUCUCAAAUUGCAUGUAAAUGGUCCAUUUCGUUGACCGAAUUCGUGCUCAAAUAUUAGCCAUGAUUAUGACAAGGAAACCAAACUCAUUUCUUGGCAAUGUCACCAGCUAUAUUGUCACUGUUUGGCCCAUUAGGAUAUAUUAAACUAACAUGCACAUACCCAUAAGCCCCACAAUGAGCUCAUACAUAUUAAGCACCAACACAAACUAGUAACCGGAUCCUUUACAAUUUGCAAGCAAAUUCGGAAUCAAAUUACAAAUGGUUUCACAAACCAAGCAUAUUAUCUUUCUCAUAGAAUACAUUUCACAAGGAGUAUAAAAGGAAGACGUUCCAGUUGUUCCUUUAAUAGCUCGAAUGAUCUUCCUAAUUGAUCCUGUCCAACGGGAGGAUUGGAAGAAUUCCUUUGGUAAGUGCCAAUGGGUAUGAUGACACAAAGGAGUAUAAAAGGAAGACGUUCCAGUUGUUUGAGGAAGUGCACGAGAGAAGAAUUCCAAAGUCUGAAGCUCUUUGUUUCUUAGUCAAUUCAUUUACUGAGUGAAAUCUUGUACGGAAAAGAGAGUCUAUAUUUUGAGAUACCUUGAGGAAGUGUGGUAGAGUAUCUACACUGUGGAAUCAAGGAAAAGUAUUGCUAUAACAUCUCUUUUGUUCAUAGUGAAAUCUAGCCAGUGGGCUGUCAGUGUAGAAGAAUGGACGUAGGCUUAAAAUAAGCCGAACCACUAUAAAUCUUGUGUUCAAUUCUCUCUUCCCUACUCUCUGCUUUACUUUGAUCAUAGUUCGAUUUGUUAACUAAAGGAGAGCUUCCUUUUUGUUGUUUGUCCAUUAUUGCUUUCAUAUCUCGAGAAAUUAUUUUUACACCUAUUCACCUCCCUCUAGGUGUUUAUACUAGCUAUAUCAAUUAGUAUUAGAGUUCGUGUACUCACUUUGUUUGAAGUGUUUUAUUUCAGAGUUAAAGAUCCAUGGUUAGUAUGCUAGUUCCAGGGCUGGUGGAAGGGCAAAGCAAUACCGGACCACCUUACUUUGAUGGAAAUGAUUACAACAUCUGGAAAAACAAGAUGAAAGCGUUUCUACGAUCAAAGGAUCCUAUGAAAUGGGACGUUGUAGAAAAAGAAAUCACUCCUAAAGCUGCAUCUGUCUCAGAGAGAGGAAAAGAAACUGUUGAGUCAAGUGAAAUGACUCAGGAAGAGAUAAUCAAGAGAUAGGCUCUUGAUGCAAAAGCAAUUUAUUCUUUAUAUUGUGCUUUAUCACCUACUGAAUAUAACAGAAUAUCUUCUUGUGUUACAGCUAAAGAAGUCUGAGAUAGAUUACACAUUACUUAUGAAGGAACUGAUCGAGUGAAAGAAACCAGAAUCAACAUUCUGCUCGGUCAAUAUGAAGCAUUCAAAAUGAAAUCUGGAGAAUCUAUUACAGACAUGUUUAGUCGUUUUACAGAGAUCGUGAAUGGCCUUGAAAAUCAAGGGCAACCAAUUUUUGAUCCCAUGAAAGUAAACAAGCUUCUGCGUGGACUCUCCAAGGAUUGGAAUCACAUAAAGACUUCAAUAAGAGAGACACAAAGAAUCAUGCUACUAUCUGUUGACGAGUUGGUCAGAACUCUUCAGUCUUAUGAAGAGGAACAAAUCAAUGAAGACGAAGAUCCUAAAGGUAAGAAAUCCAUUGUAUUAAAAUCCAAUAAUGAUUAUGAUGUCACAGAUUCUGAAGACAAUAUGGACGAUGAGGAGCUUGCUCUCAUGAUAAGAAGAUUCAAAAAACUGAACAAAAAAGGAAGAAGAUUCAAUCCAAAAAAACAGAGUUUUCAAAAGCAACAUACCAAGUCUGUUGAUGAUGAUGAAUCAAACAAAGAUGUAGUCUGCUUUGAAUGUAAGAAAAAGGGACACAUCGGACCCAACUGUUCUCUUCUGAGAAAGAAGAAAGGAAAAGCUGAAAAGUAUCGAAAGGCUUUUAAAGCAGAAACCUAGAGUGAUACAGAGUGUGAAGAAAGUGAUGAUGAUUAUGCCAAUAUAUGUCUAAUGGCACAAUCGGAUUCGGAUUCAAACUCCGAGACAGACUCAGAUUCAGACAGUGAAUUUGAGGUCACUAUCAAGAAAAAAGGUAAAAUGGUAUCUGGAUAGUGGAUGCUCAAGACAUAUGACAGGAGAUUCAAAUUGCUUCAUAAAGCUCGUUCAAGUAAAUGGUAGAAAAGUCUCAUUUGGAGGAAACAUUUGAGGAAAAAUUGUGGGAUUUGGAACUGUAAAGAUUGGAAACCUCACUAUAAGCAAUGUUUCCCUAGUGGAAGGACUCAACUACAAUCUGCUCAGUAUCAGUUAGCUGUGUGAUAUUGGUUUCAAAAUCAACUUUCAAGAGGGAAUAUGUUCAGGAACCAGUAAAGAUUCUACUCAGUCAUUCAUGGGCCGAAGACAUGGAAAUAUCUAUCUCUUGGAUGUGAAACUAGAUGAAUCGCAAUGUCUAAUCUCAAUUCAAGAUGAAGCGAACUUAUGGCACAGAAAGCUUGGGCACAUCAAUAUGAAGCAGAUAGCCAAAAUUUCAGCAAAGAAGCUUGUUCGUGGUCUACCCAAAUUAUCAUACUAAAAGUCUGAUCUAUGUACACCAUGCGUAUUGGGAAAUCAGGUAAGAAAUUCCUUUAAACCAAUAAAUCAAGUUUCCACUAAUCGUGUACUUCAGCUUCUGCAUAUGGAUCUCUUUGGACCAACCAGAACUCAGAGCAUUGGAGGUAAGAAAUAUUGCCUAGUAAUUGUGGAUGACUACUCACGAUUUACUUAGGUAUAUUUCCUAGCAAGUAAGUCUGAAACCUUCUCUUACUUUGAAAAGUUUGCUAAAAAGGUUCAAAAUGAAAAAGGGUAUGCUAUCUCGAGUAUAAGAACAGACCAUGGAGGUGAAUUUGAAAAUCAAGAUUUUACAAAAUUCUGUGAUGAAUCUGGUUUUCAGCAUGUAUUCUCCUCUCCAUAUACUCCAGAGCAAAAUGGAGUUGUGGAAAGAAAGAAUAGAUCGCUUCAAGAAAUGGCUAGAACUCUUUUAAUUGAAAGUAACAUCUCUUCACGAUUUUGGGCUGAAGCAGUUUCAACAGCAUGUUACAUUAUCAAUAGAGUUUUUCUAAAGCCUAUUAUGGAAAAAACCCUAUGAGUUAUUUAAAGGAAAGAAGCCUAUUGUUUAAUAUUUUCAUGUGUUCGGAUGCAAAUGCUUUAUAUUGAAAAAUGCAAAUGAUAGAGUUGGUAAGUUUGAAGAAAAAUCAAACGGAGGCAUCUUCCUUAGAUAUUCUACCUCAAACAAAGCCUACCGUCUAUAACAAGAAGAGUCAAUCUGUGGAGGAAUCAAUGAAUGUCAAAUUCCAGGAUUCUAUGCAAAAUGAAUUUGCUUAGACUCAUCUUGAAGAAUCUGAACCUGCUCCAGACUUUACAAAGUUUAAAUCUCAAGAAGCAACUCAGACUUUAAAAGACCAGCAACAAAUGGUUAUUGAAGAUUCAAAUGAAGGAAGUGCUCAUCAACCUGACAAAUCAACCAGUAACUGGAAGCAUAAGUCCAGUCAUCCCAAAGACCUCAUUAUUGGCGACAUUAAUGAAGAAAUUCGCACAAGAUCCAAAAGGCGCGAAGAGUCUAGUGCUGUGGCUCUUAUUUCUGAAAUAGAACCAAAAAGCAUAGAAGAAGCUUUAUCUGAUGAAAGCUGGAUUGAAGUUAUGUAAGAAGAACUCAGACAAUUCAGUAUUAAUGAUGUCUGGGAGUUGACUCAUAAACCAAAAGGUAAAUCUAUUAUUGGAGCUAAUUGGGUUUUCAGGAACAAGAUGAACGAAAAAGGAAAAGUCGUAAGAAACAAAGCAAGACUCGUGGCCAAUGGAUAUACGCAAGAAGAAGGGAUAGACUAUGACGAGACUUAUGCACUAGUAGCAAAGUUAGAAGCAAUUCGAUUAUUACUUGCUUUUGCUUGUUACAAGAAUUUCAGGUUAUUCCAAAUGGACGUCAAGAGUGCUUUCCUGAAUGAUUUAUCCAUGAGGAAGUCUAUGUGGAACAACCACCUGGGUUUGAAGACCCAAGGAAGCCAGACUCAGUAUUCAGACUGAAAAAAGCCUUGUAUGGUUUAAAGCAAGCACCUCGAGCUUGGUACGACAAGCUGAGUAAGUUUUUAAUUCAAAAUGGCUUUGAAAAAGGUAAAGUAGACACUACUCUGUUUAUCAAAAGAGAAAACAAAAGUUUUUUGCUUGUUCAAAUAUAUGUUGAUGAUAUCAUUUUUGGAUCCUCUAAUGAAAGUUUGUGCAAGAAAUUCUCUAAGUCUAUGCAGGAUGAAUUUGAAAUGAGCAUGAUGGGUGAACUAACAUUCUUUCUUGGACUUCAAGUGAAACAAUUGAAGCAAGGGACUUUUAUUCAUCAAGAAAAAUAUGCUAAUGAUCUUGUCAAAAAGUUUGGACUGGAAAAUUGCAAAAAGAUUGACAUACCAAUGUCAAGUUCCUUGAAGAUAGAGAAAGAUGAAGGAGGAAAGAAAGUUGACCAGAAGCUAUACAGGAGUAUCAUCGGUUCACUUCUUUAUCUUACUGUUUCUAGACCUGACAUUUUGUUCAGUGUUUGCAUUUGUGCUAGAUUUCAAGCAGACCCUAAAGAAUCUCAUCUAAGUGCUGCAAAGCGUAUUAUCAAAUACAUUGCUUCAACUUCAAGCAUCGGCCUUUGGUAUCCUAAAAAGGGAGACUUUACUCUUCUUGGAUACUCAGACACAGAUUUAGCCGGUUGCAGAGUUGAUAGAAAGAGCACCUCGGGUACCUGUUGGUUACUUGGAAGCAGGACAGUGUCUUGGUUUUCAAGAAAGCAAAAUAUAGUAGCUCUUUCUACAGUAGAGGCAGAGUAUGUAGUUCUCGGAAGUUGUUGUUCACAAAUACUAUGGAUAAAACAAUAGCUAAGAGACUUUGGAAUUGAAGAUUCAUGAACGGAGAUUAAUUGUGACAACACUAGUGCAAUCAAUCUUACCAAGAAUCCAAUUCUUCACUCAAGAGCAAAGCAUAUAGAGAUUCGACAUCACUUCAUUAGAGAUCAUGUUCAAAAUGAAGAAGUUUCGAUUCAGUUUGUUGACUCAAAGAACCAAUUGGCGGUUAUAUUUACGAAGUCUUUGGAGAAAAAUCAAUUUGAAAUCAUCCGUUCCAGACUCAACAUCUUGAAGCUUGAAGAAGUUAAAGUCUAGAGACUUUCAGUCUCAGACAAUCAUGGUUCUUGACUGUAAGUUAUUUUAUUUUCUCUUAAAUCUCGUAAAGGUACGAUCUUUUAUCCAUAUAUAAAUGAUUUAUACUAUUGUCAAUUUCCGUGAAAAGUGCAAUUUUUCCUUUUCAAAAAGAGUUAAUGGCAGUUAUCCAUUUUUUGAAAAAGGCAGUUAUUUUUUAAAAAUGUAUCUUUUAACAUUCCUUUACGACGUUUGCAUUUCCCUGUUUCAACUAAGCUAUAUACAGUCGGUUCCUCUUCACUUAACUCCAAAACCCUAAAAAGAACCGAUCUUCUAUUCAUGUCUUCCUCCCUUGUUUAAUCUUCAAAAAGUUGUCAUCUUUCUUGGGAAAGUCAAGCAAGGAAUCUUUCAAAGACUGAGAAAGAUGUCAUCUUCAAGAAAGUCUUCGAGGAUUGCAAGCAGGGGACCACGGCGAAUGAGUGAGGGGCCUACUCACUUUGAUCUCACCGAGGAAGAGGAGUCACCAAGUUAGCAGCAGAGCCCACAACAUUCUCAGCAGCGUCAUUCUCCACCAUCUAGUCCACAGGAUGUUGGUCAUCAACAAGAGGAAGAAAUCAUCAAAGACACAGAUCCUGUAAGAGUUCAAAGGACCUCUUUUAUUUAUAAACUUUACCGUGCUUUAUAGAGGAUUGGUACACCAUUGAACUACAUCGAUGAGUUUCUUAAGGACAAGGGAUAUGGGAAUGAGUACAUCUUUUUGCGAAAAAUGGAGCGUUUGGGAAUUGCUCCUAAAGGGUUGGUAGAAGAAACCCUUGCAAAUAUCCCAAGUGAUCCGCAUGUUGGGGGAUUUAAUUCGAUAGAUGGAAAUGAUGAUGACAGAUUGUACAACCAAUUUCAACCAAGAAUGGGUAUUGCGGCAAAAAUUCGAGGAAAAAGAACAGAGUUGUUUAGCUCGAAGGAACAGAAGGAUCUAUACUCCAAAUUGUUGAAGCGUGGGGUGAUAAACCCUAGGAGUGUAGAUUUUGAUUUCCUUGAUGCUGUGAAUGUAAAUUUGAGGGAAAAGUUCAGUUUUCUUCAACUUGAAUAGUUUUGUUCUGACACCACAGAAGCCUAUGCUCAAUUAACUGCAUAUUUCUAUUCAAAUCUUAGUUUCUUGGAUGCGAAUAGAAUCUCUUUCAGUGUCCGAGAUCAGGACUUUGUGGUGGAUGUGGAUAUUCUGGCGGAUGUGAUUAGGGUUGAGAGAGGGAGAUAUCAACCCAUCAGUGUCUCUAUAGCUCGUGCCACAUUGGAAUUUGUUAAAGACAGAAGGACAGAGGGAAGGAUUUCCUACUCAAGGAUGUGUGCGUUCAACAUUUUGCUUCACAAGAUUGUGAUUAAUUGCCUCAGACCGAAAUCAAUUUCCAAGACUGAUGUUUCUAACUCAGAGGCAAAGCUGAUGUACGCCAUCAAUGCUAGGAAAAAGUUUUCUCUUCCUCACACUAUACUGUUCCACAUGUAUAGAGCAGUGGUGAAGGACAAGGGCCAACUUCCUUAUCCAGGUCUUGUGUCAAAGAUAUUCAGACAUUUGAAUAUUCAACCUCCACAAAUUCUAUGUGUUCGACCGUGUGACAAAAUGGUGGUAGGACUGAAAAUGGUGUCCAAAAUGUGUCUGAAAGAACUCAACAAGGCGUUGGAGAAAUUUAAAGAGAAAACUCUUGUCAAAUCUCAUCAAGUCUCUUCUGCAGCGAAAAGAAAAGGGAAGGAGCCCAUGGUUACUCCAUCCAAAAAGAGAAAAGCUCUCAUUACUGAUGAAGAUGAUGAGGAUGACCUCACAAUUUCUGCUAUAGCAUUAAAGAAUCUGAGUCGUUCUGUUCCUGAAUCAAUGGAAUGAUAGGAGAAAGAAGCAGAGGAGAGAGAAUAACAGGAGAAAGAAGAAGAAGAGAGAGAAGCAGAGGAGAAGGAAGAAAAGGAGAAAGAAGCUGAAGAAAAAGAAGCAGAGGAGGAAAGGUUUGAAGAAGAAGAAGAAAGAUAAAAUCAAGAGGAAUGAGAGCAUGAGGAAAACUCUUCUACACCUGAAGCCAUGGAAACAGGGGAAGAUGGUGAGAACAAAGGAAUGUCCUCAUAUCCUGUUGUCAGUGAAGGAGUCAGCCGUUCUCAAGCAGAUCCAGAGGACAUCCAUGCCUCUCAAUUUCCUGAGGAGGAACAUGAUGCUUCAUCGCCACAUCGCCAAAUCUGCGUGAUUAUGCUGAAACCAGUACGCAGACUGAUAACUCAGCAGAUUUUCGCAGAAUCAUUAAUGUUCUUUUGGAAAUGCAGGGUCAGAUAUAUGCUUUGGAAUGUGAAGUUCAGAACUUGAAAAAUGCAGGACAAGCUUCUUCCGUUUCUUUAUCUGAUUAGAUCCAAGCCCUUGCUCUUCAGAUUCAAGCCAAUGCUAAAGGAGAAGAGGUGGAUCAACUGAAGGAAGAAUUGAAAAAGCUGGAAGGCAUCAUCCAGUCAAUUGGAGAUUUCCAGCUUGUUUGCAUUCCCAAGUAGACUUGACUCCAUUCUAUUCCCAUCUCAACCUUUUUUUAUGAUGACAAAAAGGGGGAGAGAUGCGAGAUUUGAAAUCUUUGAACUUUGAACUUAAACUUGUUAAAUUUUUUUUUUGUUUUGAUGUUUGACUUGUAUGUCCAUGUCUGGAUGUAGACUGACUGAAAGUGGAUUUGGAUUUGACUGCUGCUUAUAUUAAGUACUAUUGAUAUCUUAUGAAUGGCUUUACUCUUAUGCUAGACUAACCUAUUUUUUUGUGAUUGCAGAUUCUAGUGUUAUCAUUAAGCCAUUAAUCUUUAUGAGAUAUCCAUAUUUGCUUGAGUAAUGUUUUGCAGGUCAAAGUUAUUCAAAUCUGCAGAAAAGUUUUGUCACCAUCAAAAAGGGGGAGAUUGUUAGAGAAAUCCUUCUGAAAUAUUUUGAAGCUGACAGAACGUUUCUAUCAGUCUAGUAUGAAGAUUUGCAGACUCUAUUAUUAAAGUCUGAAGACCUCUGGACUGCCAGACUCAAUACUCAAAGUCUAUUCUCAUUGACAGUUUCUAAUCCGUUGAAGAAAGGCUCAGUGCUUCAUUAAGGAUUUGGCUUUAUCGACUGGAGUAGAUCUCUUGGCUUGAUAUGACAUAACAUAUUCCUUUAUUCAAAUCAAGAAUGAUUAAGAUCCGAUGAUUGGUGAAGUAUUCUUGGAAGGUUCUACUUAUGGAAACCAAGAUACUGAUUGUAUGGGCAUCAACAUGUUCCUUUAAUAGCUCGAAUAAUCUUCUUAAUUGAUUCUGUCCAACGGGAGGAUUGGAAGAAUUCAUUUGGUAAGUGGCAAUGGGUAUGAUGGCACAAAUGAGUAUAAAAGGAAGACGUUCCAGUUGUUCGAGGAAGUGCACGAGAGAAGAAUUCCAAAGUCUGAAGCUUUUUGAUUCUUAGUCAAUUCAUUUACUGAGCGAAAUCUUGUACGCAAAAGAGAGUCUAUAUUUUGAGAUACCUUGAGGAAGUGUGGUAGAGUAUCUACACUGUGGAAUCAAGGAAAAUCAUUGCUGUAACAUCUCUUUUGUUCAUAGUGAAAUCCAGCCAGUGGGCUGUCAGUGCAGAAGAGUGGACGUAGGCUUAGAAUAAGCCGAACCACUAUAAACCUUGUGUUCAAUUCUCUCUUCCCUUCUCUUUGCUUUACUUUGAUCAUAGUUCGAUUUGUUAACUAAAGGAGAGCUUCCAUACUGUUGUUUAUCCAGUAUUGCUUUCAUAUCUCGAGAAAUUAUUUUUACACCUAUUCAACCCCCUCUAGGUGCUUAUACUAGCUAUAUCACCUAAAACUAUUGGGCAAGAGUGAUUGUGUUAGUGUUUAUAUGGAUAGAGAGAUGUUCAAUUUAAGUUGGAGUUGAAACUAGAAACUCCUAAAGUUGAUGGUGUUAGCAUGUUAAUAAACACAAAUAGUGCUUAUAGAGAGGUAGAGCUUAUAGAACUGAUGGUUGCUAUAAUUGUUGGGUUUAACAAGGUGCAUGUUUGAUCUCUUGAUAGGUAUGCAUGCGAUGAUUUUGCUUUAUCUGCAGUUUAGGAAGUUGUGUAGGAAAAUCUUUGUGGAGAAGUUAAUAAAUGCAAGUGGAGUUGGGAUUCUAAUGAGGUCCAAGGUUAUGGCGAAGUUCAUGUGUAACUUGGAUUUCAAGGAUAUUGGUGGGGGUUGAGCCCAUAAGGAUCUAUGGGUGUGACAUCCCAAAUUUUCAGUCAUGUUUUCUAUUGAAUAAAUCAGGCAUUUUAUUGACGCGUCUAGAGAGUUGUUCUCAGAGUUGAUCACCCUCGAGAUAAUUGGACCAUAUGAGGAAAUCAUUAAGGAAUUUUAAUGCAAUAGACUUGAGAAUUUGACUAAGAAUCGAUUUCUCGAUCGUGUCCAUCUUUAGAGAUCAUUAUGGCACAGAUAUUAAUCAAUUCGAGAUCAGAGAUAUGUUGGUUUGACUAAGAUAUAUGGCAAAUAGUGGGUGACACCACUAAAUUUAAAAAUUCUCGUCAAUCAAUACUAGAUUGAUUUUCUUAUUGUUUUGGUACCAUGUGUCCGUAUUUAGAUCAUCGGGAUUUUCACGACAAUCGAGAGUCGCCAAUAAGUUAAGUAGGUUCAUAGUGGCUCGAAGAAAAUCGACCACGGGUCAUUUGUACUAAAAUUUUUUGAAAGUUACCUAGUAGCCUAAGCCACGCUAAUAACGCGUUGAAUGGAAAUUAACCGUGAAUUCAAGUUUGAUUUCAAAAAUUGAAAGUUCGGUCAUGUCACGAGCUAUUUUAGGAACGUCGACUCACCCUUUGAAGAAUUUUCAGAGAUCCCGAGAUUUUCACUGAAAAUCUAUUCAGAUGUUGCGGAAAAUUAGUAGAGAUUCAUAUGGGCUAAAUCAAUGGAAAUUAUGACUUCUAAGCUGAGCCUUUGAGUGCCAGGGACCUACAGGAAAUUGCUCAUGAUUUUUCUUCAAAGGGAUUGGACCUCGAUUUGGAGAAUUGGUGAAGAAAAUUAAGAGUAUUUGAGUGAAAUUCGGAACUAAGGUCUUGGGGCUGUAUUUUGGCACCAUUUGAGCUAAUUGUGGAUUGAUUUGCAAGAAAAUAAUUGGGAGACCAAAGAGGGUAGGUGUGUGGGUUUUUGGGGGACACCAUAGGAUAAGAUGGAAGACUUCCUGGACCCAUUUCAUGAUGAAAAUUGAGAUAUCUUACUAGAUUUUUUGCCUCUCUCCUUCGAUCUUUCUCAUCAGUGCGUUCAUUCUCUUCGACCGUUCCAUUCUCCCACGCUUCUAUUUUUCAUUUCCUCUUUUCCCAUCUCCUUUGCACGCCAUAGCCCCACCGAGCGAAACCUCCGCCGCUGGCAGCUUUGUCUUCUUCCCAAUUUCCUCUCAGCUGAAGUUCUCCCACGGAAGCUGCUUGUUUCUUCAGCUCCUCGCGGUCACGUCCCUCUCCGCGCGUCCAAGCCCACCGAUGGCCGAAUCCCCAUGCCUAGUCAACGAAAGAGUCCAACAAAAAUCGGUUUGUUGACCUCCUAGCCCCACACGAAGCCGCCCAUCUCCACGAAGCCUUGCUGAACAAAGCCCCACGCUGCCCUGUGUUCAACCGAUCAACCUAGCAAUUCCACCGACUCUCUGCAGUCGCGCCAGCACGCCCACGCUCCACCAAAUUUUGUCUCCUCAAGUCAACCCGCCAAGCAGAUUGUUGACUCCUCCACCGAAUCAAGCUGCAACUCCAUUCGGCUUCACGUUUAGCCGGCAGCCGCCACGAGCGAGGUAGCAGCCUUCAUCUUCGGCUUCUUCAAUCCAGC
rnacentral:lncRNA from 1 species